UGGGGAAUAUUGCACAAUGGGGGAAACCCUGAUGCAGCGACGCCGCGUGAGCGAAGAAGGCCUUCGGGUCGUAAAGCUCUUUUAUAUGGGAAGAUAAUGACGGUACCAUAGAAGAAAGCCCCGGCUAAUUACGUGCCAGCAGCCGCGGUAAUACGUAAGGGGCGAGCGUUGUCCGGAAUUAUUGGGCGUAAAGAGUGCGUAGGCGGCAAAUUAAGUCAGAUGUGAAAACUAAGGGCUCAACCCAUAGAUUGCAUCUGAAACUGAUAUGCUUGAGUCAAGGAGAGGAAAGUGGAAUUCCUAGUGUAGCGGUGGAAUGCGUAGAUAUUAGGAGGAAUACCGGUGGCGAAGGCGACUUUCUGGACUUGAACUGACGCUGAGGCACGAAAGCGUGGGGAGCAAACAGG
rnacentral:rRNA from 1 species